rnacentral:rRNA from 1 species
GACGAACGCUGGCGGCGUGCUUAACACAUGCAAGUCGAACGGAAGGGCCCUGCUUUUGUGGGGUGCUCGAGUGGCGAACGGGUGAGUAACACGUGAGUAACCUGCCCUUGACUUUGGGAUAACUUCAGGAAACUGGGGCUAAUACCGGAUAGGAGCUCCUGCUGCAUGGUGGGGGUUGGAAAGUUUCGGCGGUUGGGGAUGGACUCGCGGCUUAUCAGCUUGUUGGUGGGGUAGUGGCUUACCAAGGCUUUGACGGGUAGCCGGCCUGAGAGGGUGACCGGCCACAUUGGGACUGAGAUACGGCCCAGGCUCCUACGGGAGGCAGCAGUGGGGAAUAUUGCACAAUGGGCGGAAGCCUGAUGCAGCAACGCCGCGUGCGGGAUGACGGCCUUCGGGUUGUAAACCGCUUUCGCCUGUGACGAAGCGUGAGUGACGGUAAUGGGUAAAGAAGCACCGGCUAACUACGUG